UGUUUCCUACUGCAUCCUUGACCGCUUGACAAUGUUUUCAGAUAAUUUCAGCCGAAGUUUUCAUGUACCUGGCCAACUAGGUGCUCAUGACAUUAGAAAUGAAAUGGUCUAAUCUAAUAAUGCAAGCUCACAACCUGUCUUCUGAAGCAAAAUAAUUUUUGUUGCAAGUUGUAGAUCUUCAAGAUAUUUAUGCCUUCGCCAGAUCCAAUUCUUUGCUGCUAUCUAUUUUGGGUACAACAGUGAGAAAAUGCUGCUACUCAAGAUUAUGUGGUGUUCUUAGUUCUAAUUUAGGACAAUGUUAAUCCCUCUCCACUGUUCUAGUUGCUUGGAAACCGACGAGAGAUUGCUGGAAUUGAAGACUGAUAAUUUGUGUUGAUGUAGAUAACUUACAAGUGCAUAAUCUGGGCUCCCUUCUUUUCUGUGGCCCCGUAUCCAUAACUAACACUAACCAACGCCCGCCGGUGGUCACUCACUCGCUGUGUCAACCAGGAGGAGGGGAGGGCUCUGGUCGAACGGGGACUUGGAAGGCCCCUGAUCUGAUGAAAACUUUUGGAUGGUCAUGAGUCUAACCCGGAAGCCUAGUAUGACUAUAUCUCUCCAGUAAAACUGGCCUCGUACUUCUCUCUUCUUCUCGGACCAGAUACUAUCUCUGGUGGCCGUCGACAAUUCCAACUGCAUGUGCGAGUUUUAACAAAGCAAUGCGCAGCCCAUGCGCUACCCAAUGAGACAAAAAGCGAUGUUUAAUUUUU